UACGGGGGGGGCAAGCGUUAUUCGGAAUUACUGGGCGUAAAGGGCUCGUAGGCGGCCAACUAAGUCAGACGUGAAAUCCCUCGGCUUAACCGGGGAACUGCAUCUGAUACUGGAUGGCUUGAGUUCGGGAGAGGGAUGCGGAAUUCCAGGUGUAGCGGUGAAAUGCGUAGAUAUCUGGAGGAACACCGGUGGCGAAGGCGGCAUCCUGGACCGACACUGACGCUGAGGAGCGAAAGCCAGGGGAGCAAACGGG
rnacentral:rRNA from 1 species